rnacentral:lncRNA from 1 species
UUCUAUUCAUAUUUCAAGUAAAGCUUUAUAUCCUCCUUUUUGCCUCUUUUGGUCUCAAUGAUACCUACACUUAUAAGCUGUUUCCCACAUCUCUCCUUUUUCCACACCUAAAACACAAAUUCCCUAAGUCUCAUCCACAUAGACACUCAUACCCCUUCAUUUUCUCACUCUUAGUGUAACCUUAGCAGAGGCAGAAUAAGCCAGAUAGUACUCUGCCUGACAAUUUUCUAUUAAAGAACAAAAAUCCUAAAUAAUCAUGGCUGAGAAGAAUUCAGACAUACAUUAAAUCUUAUAUACUCAUGAAUGAGGUGCAUGAAUGGGGUGUUACUGAGAGCCCAGUGACUUCGAAAGAGGGUUGCUUCUGUGCAAAGACAGAUGCCACAAUUCCAAGUGUCCUGGGAUGGAAAUCACAUGGGAUAUCUAAAUGGAUCAUCAAAGAGAGAACACUUGAAUUCAACAGAAAAGUAACAGAAAAGACCCAGCACAAGGAGAAAGAGGAAAAGGAGUCAGCCCGCUUGACAAGGAUUGGCUGGGGAGACUGGAGAGACUUCCUAAUGUGGGAAAAGGGAAGUGAGUGACCCCCAGGGGUCCAUAUUCCCACCACAGAUUCCUACAAUGCUAGCCACAGUAGAGUGUCCAGACCCUUGCAGGCCCUAAGACUAACAUAGGGAGUGUCUGGAGAUCACAGGAGUGUCUGGAGAUCACAUAAAGGCAUUGCUACAGGGAGAGAACUCACACUGGGUCCCAUACACCUGUAAGCUUUAAGCAGCUACAGCAAGGCUCAUAUUGAGAGCCCAGUCCCCACUAGACUGUAUCUUGCCUUGGAGCCUACCACAGUUGGUUCUGCUGCUGCUAGGGCUAAAGCAUGAGCCAUUGGCAAUGACCCUGCUGCCCCCAGCAGCAAAGACAUCAUGAAUUUUCACAUGCCCCAAGGGCAAAGUCCCUGACCCACAGCCACCACCACUGUGGGCUGCCACUGCUGGGGCCAAAGCAGAAGUGAAGUACAGGCUUCCCAAAUGCCUGAAUACAGUUACUGCCACUGAGAGCAACCCUGCUGUCCUCAGUAGCAGGGCUGCAGUGCUGCUGCCUCCCCUACUCAAGCAUUCGGCCAGUGUGCUGGAUAUUACCUCACUCUUGCCUAACCACGGCCAGUGACUACACACACCACCAGGGGACUUCAGAACAGGUCUGCCCAACCUGUCUUUACCCCUCCAGUGUCCCGGUAUGCUAUCUAGGGACCUGGAAACCAUCCAGCCCAGUCUACCACCAAUGGCACCUGAAUCUAGACAGAAACUUUAACAAAGAAAUUCUGGAUUUAAAUGGCACCAUAGGCCAAAUGGACAUAACAGACAGACAUAUACAGAACAUUUCAUCCAACACCCAAAUGCCCAUCAAUGAUAGACUGGAUAAACAAAAUGUGGCACAUAUAUAGCAUAGAAUACAAUGCAGCCAUAAAAAGGAUGAAUUCAUGUCCUUUGCAGGGACAUGGAUGAAGCUGGAAACCAUCAUUCUCAGCAAACUAACACAGGAACAGA